rnacentral:rRNA from 1 species
AGCGGCGAACGGGUGAGUAAUGCCUAGGAAUCUGCCCAUUAGCGGGGGACAACGUGUGGAAACGCACGCUAAUACCGCAUACGCCCUACGGGGGAAAGCAGGGGACUCUUUGGAGCCUUGCACUAAUGGAUGAGCCUAGGUCGGAUUAGCUAGUUGGUGGGGUAAAGGCCUACCAAGGCGACGAUCUGUAGCGGGUCUGAGAGGAUGAUCCGCCACACUGGAACUGAGACACGGUCCAGACUCC